rnacentral:rRNA from 1 species
ACUCGCAACCAUAUCACGUUGGAGAAACCGGUUCUCGUCUGAUCGCCGAAGUUAAGAAAUAUCGGGUCCAGUUAGUACUUGCAUGAAUGACCGGCUGGAAAUACCGGGUUUUGCAGCCU